CGGGACUGCAGGCGGGAGAGGGUGCGGGCGCGUGCGGGAGAGGCGCCUGAGCCCCGGGGCGAAGCGGGCUGGGGGCGUCUUAAGGGGUCGAGGCACUUGAAGGCACGGUGCCCCCCGAGAGGAGGUAUUUGCAGGUGCAGGCGCCGAGCUCGGCGCGCAGACCUGUUCAAAGGGGUGGGUGCCGGGAGAGCAGGACGUUUUGAGACUAGAGCCAAGCCCAGAAGACAUGUGAAGAGGCCCGGGCUUGGGUUUGAGAACCCGUUUCUUAGAGGCUGGGAUAAAGGACUCUUACCCAGCGCCUGGCGAGGUCUUCCUCUGAGGAAGAACGGGCACUCCCGCUCUCCCCCGGUGUCCUCUCUGGCUCCUCCAGGUUCCCUUGACCCCAGACCCCCCUGUUUUCAGGCUAUGGCCCCCAGUGCCCUGUAGACCUGGCGCGACUCCCGUGCUUUCGACCCCUUUGGGGGGCCUUGGGUGGCUUCUGGAGGGCCUUGCAGAGGGGCAGAGAAGGCAGGACCAUGGCAUCUAGGGCCUUUGACCCUCCCCCAGGGCGCAGCGUGACGGCGGGCAUCAUCAUUGUUGGAGAUGAGAUCCUCAAGGGACACACUCAGGACACCAAUACCUACUUUCUGUGCCGGACACUGCGCUCCCUGGGGGUCCAGGUGUGCCGAGUCUCUGUUGUUCCCGACGAGGUCGCCGCCAUCGCGGCUGAGGUCACUUCUUUCUCCAGCCGCUUCACCCACGUCCUCACGGCAGGGGGCAUCGGCCCCACUCAUGACGACGUGACCUUCGAGGCAGUAGCGCAGGCCUUUGGGGACAAACUCAGGCCACACCCUGAGCUGGAAGCAGCCAUCAGAGCCCUGGGAGGGAAGGGCUGGGCCAAGCUGUCUCUCGUGCCCUCCUCCGCCCGCCUGCAUUACGGCACUGAUCCCCGCACUGGCCGGCCCUUCGAGCUGCCGCUGGUCUCCGUCCGGAACGUCUACCUCUUCCCGGGCAUUCCGGAGCUGCUGCGAAGGGUGCUGGAAGGGCUGAAGGGCCUGUUCCAGAACACUGCUGUGCAGUUUCACCUGCGGGAGCUCUAUGUGGCCGCCGACGAGGCCUCGAUCGCCCCCAUCCUGGCCGAGGCCCAGGCCCACUUUGGGCGCAGGCUGGGCCUGGGCUCCUACCCUGACUGGGGCAGCAACUAUUAUCAAGUGAAGCUCACUCUGGACUCGGAGGAGGAAGGGCCCCUGGAGGAGGGCCUGGCCUACCUGACCGCCCGCCUGCCCCCGGGGUCGCUGGUCCCCUACGUGCCCGACGCCGUGCCGCAGGCCAGCGAGGCCGUGUACAGACUCGCCGAAUCAGGGUCUUCUCUGGGGGAAAAGGUGGCAGGUGCCCUGCAGACCAUCGAGACGGCCCUGGCUCGGUACGACCUCACCCGCCUCUGCGUGGGCUUCAACGGAGGCAAGGACUGCACCGCGCUCCUGCAUCUCUUCCAUGCCGCCGCGCAGAGGAAACGCCCCGACACUCAGGAACCCCUCCAGAUCCUGUAUAUCCGCAGCAUCUCCCCUUUCCCCGAGCUCGAGCAGUUCCUACAGGACACCAUCAAGAGGUACAAUCUACGGGUCUUGGAGGCUGAGGGAGACAUGAAGCAGGCCCUGAGCGAGCUGCGGACACAGCACCCCCAGCUGGAGGCUGUGCUGAUGGGCACCCGCCGUACGGACCCCUACUCCUGCAGCCUCUGCCCUUUCAGCCCCACCGACCCUGGCUGGCCGGCCUUCAUGCGCAUCAACCCGCUGCUGGUAACGGGGUAGAGGCUGUGGGGCCUCCAGUCUCCCCAUCCCUAUUCCCCGUGGGGGAGCGGUUGGAGCCUGGGGCUCAGAUGUAGAAACACCCGCCCGAGGGAGGCUGUGCCGUCGGGUCCUCGGGCCUGAGCGCUGCCCACUGCACCCUGAGAGCAGGCGCGUGCUCUCUCCCGCUAGGUCUGUGCUGCCCAGUGUGGGGGCCGCUGGCCACCCACUUACACUCAAGCUGCAGUUUCCUAAAAUUAAAUAACUACUAAAAAUGGGGCUGGUGGGAGGAGCGGGCCCCUGAGUGGGGGCCGGCGAGCUCGGGGAGAGGGCCAAAAGGGCAGCUUAGCCGGCGCGUGCCCACCUGCGGGUGGAUGGCGAGGGGAGAAAAUAAAAAAAAAGAACUACUAAAACUAACAAAAUGGGGGCUUUAAAAGGAUGAACUCAGUGGCCUGCGGAAAGUCAAAGUUCAGUCCCUGAUUUGCGCCAAGGUCAUUUCAGGUGCCCCGUGUCAGAAGGCACAGCUGGGGCCCAUUUCCACCCCUGCGCAGGCCGGCCUGCUCGCCGCGGGCUCACACAGACAGGACUGGACCUACAGAGACAUCUGGGACUUCCUCCGUCAGCUCUUUGUCCCCUACUGUAUCCUGUA